rnacentral:rRNA from 1 species
CCUACGGGUGGCAGCAGUGGGGGAUAUUGCACAAUGGGGGGAACACUGAUGCAGCGACGCCGCGUGGGUGAAGGAGCGUUUCGGCGCGUAAAGCCCUAUCGGCAGGGAAGCAGAUGCCGGUACCUGACCAAGAAGCCCCGGCUAACUACGUGACAGCACCCGCGGUUACACGUGAGGGGCAAGCGUUAUCCGGAUUUACUGGGCGUAAAGGGGGCGUAGACGGCAAUGCAAGCCAGGAGGGAAAGCCCCGGGGCCAACCCCGGGACUGCGCUUGGAACUGCAUGGCUGGAGUACAGGAGGGGCAGGCGGAAUGCCUAGUGUAGCGGUGAAAUGCGUAGAUAUUAGGAGGAACACCGGUGGCGAAGGCGGCAUGCUGGACUGUGACUGACGUUGAGGCCCGAAGGCGUGGGGAGCAAACAGGAUUAGAUACCCUGGUAGUC